rnacentral:rRNA from 1 species
GACGAACGCUGGCGGCGUGCUUAACACAUGCAAGUCGAACGCUGAAGCUCAGCUUGCUGGGUGGAUGAGUGGCGAACGGGUGAGUAACACGUGAGUAACCUGCCCUCUUCUUUGGGAUAACGCCCGGAAACGGGUGCUAAUACUGGAUAUUCACUGAUUCUCGCAUGGGGGUUGGUGGAAAGGUUUUUUCUGGUGGGGGAUGGGCUCGCGGCCUAUCAGCUUGUUGGUGGGGUGAUGGCCUACCAAGGCUUUGACGGGUAGCCGGCCUGAGAGGGUGACCGGUCACAUUGGGACUGAGAUACGACCCAGACUCCUACGGGAGGCAGCAGUGGGGAAUAUUGCACAAUGGGCGAAAGCCUGAUGCAGCGACGCCGCGUGAGGGAUGGAGGCCUUCGGGUUGUAAACCUCUUUCGCUCAUGGUCAAGCCGCAGCUUUGGGUUGUGGUGAGGGUAGUGGGUAAAGAAGCGCCGGCUAACUACGUG